CAAAAAGUUCGAAGUAUCCUAACAUUCCCUUAUAGUUUAGAAUAUCCUACCUGUCCCUUUGUAGUCAUUGAUGUGAAUAAGAAAAGAAUGAGUAAAUGAUCUAUUGAUUCUAGAAUCUUCUAUUUCCAGAGAGAAGAGGGAAAACCUUUUUGAAAGCGAUGUCAUCUUCUCUGGUUCUUAUGGAGUUAAUCUGGGCCUUUCAAGAUUUUUGGCUUCCAACAGUUCUCCAGAUUAACUCUUCCAGGGGUGCUCUCGGAUUCUGAUGGCCCUGCAAGAUGUGAGAAUGCCGAUCAUUUUUCUGAUCUACUUUUACGUAAUGUGACUCUCAUCAGAUUUCAAUUCAGACAAAACACAGCUCUUGGCAUGAAUCAAGGUGAGCUUCAGCGUUCGAGGUGUGCAGGUGCUAUUGCUGAUCAGCAAGAAUCUCUGACUGUACCAGCUUGACAAAAUGGGCCCGAGGAGUACUAGACGCAUCUGAGGUCAGGUUUUGGCACGUACACAGAAGUCACUGAGCCCGACCAGCUCAACAAUAUGAGUUUCAAAAGGUUGGCAAGGAAAUGGCAAGAUCUUUCAUGGGAAACAGUCGAUGUGGGCGG
rnacentral:lncRNA from 1 species